rnacentral:rRNA from 1 species
UACGUAGGGGUGCAAGCGUUAAUCGGAAUUACUGGGCGUAAAGCGUGCGCAGGCGGUUUUGUAAGUCUGUCGUGAAAUCCUCGGGCUCAACCUGAGAAUUGCGAUGGAGACUGCAAGGCUAGAAUCUGGCAGAGGGGGGUAGAAUUCCACGUGUAGCAGUGAAAUGCGUAGAGAUGUGGAGGAACACCGAUGGCGAAGGCAGCCCCCUGGGUCAAGAUUGGACGCUCAU